rfam:Nematostella vectensis strain CH2 x CH6 NEMVEscaffold_956_Cont34229, whole genome shotgun sequence.
GUACUUGUAAAAGAGUUCGUAAUGGGGAUGGAUUAAAAUUCUAUCAGAGUAACAAUUGGAGGACAUGUCUGGUGCCAGCACCCGCGGUAAUUCCAGCUCCAAUAGUGUAUUUUAAAGUUGUUGCAGUUAAAACGCUCGUCGUCUAUUUAAAGGGUGCUUGCAGAGGUUCGAUAACUCCAACGCUCAAUAUCCUUGUUGAAUUUUUGGACAGGGGAAUUGGGUGUCUUCGACUUAGUUGGGGUAUCUUCCAGCUCCAAGUUUUCUGGCUCUUUAUCGGGUCCGUUUAUGCGGAGUGAAUUUUUAGCAAGUGCCUUGAAACCAAUAAAUCAACUGUGAGAAAAUCGGCGUGCUUAAGGCAGGCAAUGUUAUGAUUGCCCGAACGUUAUAACAUGGUAUUGAAAAUAAGCCAUCAGAAAUGGUGGUGUAAACAUUGGGAAGCCGGGAGAGGGUUCAGGCAUUGUGGCGUUAGAGGUGAAAUUCAAUAAACGUUGCAAGACUAGCAGACGCAAAAGCGGUUAGACCCAUCACAUUUCCUUCAAUCAGGAACGAAAGUUGGGGGAUCGAAGAUGAUUAGAUACCGUCGUAGUCCCAGCCGUAAACUAUACUGACAAGAGAUUGGCACGACACUUUUUUACCAGAUCCCCUCAGAAUCUAAGGGAAACCGAAAGUUUUUGAGUUCUGGGGGGAGUAUGGUCGCAAGGCUGAAACUUAAAAGAAUUGACGGAAGAGCACCACCAGGAGUGGAAUUUGCGGCUUAAUUCGACUCAACACGGGAAAACUCACUAGGUCCGGACAUUAAGAGGAGUGACAGAUUAAAGUUCUUUCAUGAUUUUCUGUAUGGUGGUGCAUGGCCGUUCUUAGUUCGUGGAGUGAUUUGUCAGGUUAAUUCCGAUAACGAACGAGACCUUAAUCUACUAACUAGGCUGUCAGUUUAUUCAAAUUGGCAUUUUAAACGAGGGGUUCACUCCGAGUUUAAUCAGCUUCUUAGGGAGACAAUACUGCGUUUCAAAAAAUUAGCGUAGGGAAGUUUGAGGCAAUAACAGGUCUGUGAUGCCCUUAGAUGUUCUAGGCAGCACGCGUAUUACAAUGUUAGUACCAACGAGUUUCUUGUAAACCUUCAGUUUAUACCUACUCUAUUAAAAAGAGGUGGGGAAUCUUUUCAACAACUAACGUGACAGGGAUAGCUGUUUGUAACUACAUCUUGAACGAGGAAUUCCUAGUAAGCGCAUAUCAUCAAUAUGCAUUGAUUGCGUCCCUGCUCUUUGUACACACCGCCCGUCGCUACUACCGAUGGAAUGAGAAGGUGAAUUUAACGGAUUGGGAAUAUUACGGUAAAUUUGAAAAAUUAACUGAACCUUCUUGUUUGUAGGAAGUAAAAGUCGUAACAAGGUCUCCGUAGGUGAACCUGCGGAGGGAUCAUAU